AAGAAAGUGGUAGAUCGGUUAUACAGUUAACUUGAAAUUAAAUUAAGGGGGUUCGAUUCCCUCCUCUCUUG
rnacentral:tRNA from 1 species